CCUACGGGAGGCAGCAGUGAGGAAUAUUGGUCAAUGGGCGCGAGCCUGAACCAGCCAAGUAGCGUGAAGGAUGACUGUCCUACGGGUUGUAAACUUCUUUUAUCACGGAAUAAAGUGAGGCACGUGUGCCUUUUUGUAUGUACUUUAUGAAAAAGGAUCGGCUAACUCCGUGCCAGCAGCCGCGGUAAGACGGAGGAUCCGAGCGUUAUCCGGUUUUAUUGGGUUUAAAGGUAGCGUAGAUGGGUUGUUAAGUCAGUUGUGAAAGUUUGCGGCUCAACCGGAAAAUUGCAAUUGAUACUGGCAGCCUUGAGUACAGUUGAGGUAGGCGGAAUUCGUGGUGUAGCGGUGAAAUGCUUAGAUAUCACGAAGAACUCCGAUUGCGAAGGCAGCUUACUAGACUGCCACUGACAUUGAUGCUCGAAAGUGUGGGUAUCAAACAGGAUUAGAUACCCCAGUAGUC
rnacentral:rRNA from 1 species